AAAGCAACCUUUCCUUAUCUCUGUCUGGCUGUCAACGGCUCUCAGCUAGGUGGACCCGACAUUUCAGUAACAGUUUCUGGCACCCCAGAUGGGACCCUGCUAGCUCGGACAUCGGACUCUAGAUGGCUGCGGCGAACUAGGAGAAGCGCCACCGGGGUGCUCAGCCCCUCUUCCUCACUUUACCGCGCCCCUUGGGGUUUGUGCUCCGAUAAGAUAACAAGAUCGUCCUCUGGUUACCUCAAAACCAACUUCCCCAGCUGUGUGCUGUUCUAACCCAGGCUUCAGAGGACUCGAUCCUGCCUGCGGACUCAAUCCUACCCGAGCGACUCAAACAGGAGGUAUGCAGCCCAAUUUCAGUCCUUACCUGCUGAUGUACCUGCUCACUGGAUCCAGCCAGGGGAUUGGGUCUAAGUAAAAGAGUGGAAAAUCAAGCCUCUCCAACCCUGGCGGGCUGGCCCUGUUCAAGUCCUUCUUACCUCCCACACUGCAAUUCGAGUAAGGGAACGGAAUACCUGGAUCCACCACACCCGAAUCAAGCUAGCCCCUAGGUUGGGGCCAGAAGCAGACAACAUCAAACUUUGAGGGAGCACCACCAGCUCUUCCCACCGCAACCCAGAAAAGCCAGAAGCAGAUGGUACCUGGAAAACUGAACCUCUCAAGGAACUAAAGCUUUUGUUCCGAUGGACAAAAUCCUGAGACUUUGUGACUAUGGGUUCUCAGACGGUGCUGC